rnacentral:rRNA from 1 species
CCUGACGCAGCGACGCCGCGUGAGUGAUGAAGGCCUUCGGGUCGUAAAGCUCUGUCAAGUGGGAAGAACCCGGUUGAUUAUAAUACAAUUAACCGCUGACGGUACCACUGAAGGAAGCACCGGCUAACUCCGUGCCAGCAGCCGCGGUAAUACGGGGGGUGCAAGCGUUAUUCGGAAUCAUUGGGCGUAAAGGGCGCGUAGGCGGUUUUUUAAGUCGGAUGUGAAAGCCCGGGGCUUAACCCCGGAAGUGCAUUUGAAACUGAAAGACUUGAGUAUGGGAGAGGGAAGUGGAAUUCCUGGUGUAGAGGUGAAAUUCGUAGAUAUCAGGAGGAACACCGGUGGCGAAGGCGACUUCCUGGACCAAUACUGACGCUGAGGCGCGAAGGCGUGGGUAGCAAACAGGAUUAGAUACCCUGGUAGUCCACGCAGUAAACGGUGAACACUAGGUGUAGCGGGUAUUGACCCCUGCUGUGCCGAAGUUAACGCAUUAAGUGUUCCGCCUGGGAAGUACGAUCGCAAGAUUAAAACUCAAAGGAAUUGACGGGGGCCCGCACAAGCGGUGGAGCAUGUGGUUUAAUUCGACGCAACGCGAAGAACCUUACCUGGAUUUGACAUCCCGGGAAUUCUCUUGAAAGAGAGAAGUGCCCUUCGGGGAGCCCGGAGACAGGUGCUGCAUGGCUGUCGUCAGCUCGUGUCGUGAGAUGUUGGGUUAAGUCCCGCAACGAGCGCAACCCUUGUCUUUAGUUACCAUCAUUCAGUUGGGGACCCUAAAGAUACUGCCCCGGUAAACGGGGAGGAAGGUGGGGAUGACGUCAAGUCCUCAUGGCCUUUAUAUCCAGGGCUACACACGUGCUACAAUGGGCUGUACAAAAGGUUGCAAACCCGCGAGGGUAAGCUAAUCCUGUAAAACAGCUCUAAGUUCGGAUUGGAGUCUGCAACUCGACUCCAUGAAGCUGGAAUCGCUAGUAAUCGCGGAUCAGCACGCCGCGGUGAAUACGUUCCCGGGCCUUGUACACACCGCCC